AUGGUUCUGAUAGAUAUCAGGAAUAUGCUACAAUCAAUGGGAAAGGACAUAGAGUCAUUCCCUCUUCCUGGUAUGAAUGAAGAAUAUGACACUGCUUCCGGCAUGCCAAGGGAGAUCUUCGAGGAAUCCACCAUUGAGCUCAAUGUUGAGGACACAAAUCUAUCAGAUUCACUUAAUUCAGAUCAAAGGAAAGCCUACGAUGAAAUUAUGUAUGUUGUUGACAGUGAUGAGGGUGGCGUAUUCUUUGUGGAUGGGCCUGGAGGCACUGGGAAGACUUAUCUAUAUAGGGCACUUCUUGCAAAAGUCCGUGGACAGAAAAAGAUUGCAGUAGCAACAGCUACGUCCGGCGUUGCAGCUACCAUAAUGCCCGGAGGGAGAGCAGCUCAUUCACGGUUCAAGAUACCGCUAAGCAUUGACGAUGGUGGGUUUUGUAGCUUCACUAAACAGAGUGGAACUGCCAAGCUCUUACAGUCAGCUUCCCUCAUUAUAUGGGAUGAGGCUUCGAUGACAAAGAGGCAGGCAGUGGAGGCGCUAGACAAUAGUAUGCGUGAUAUAAUGAGCCGACCAGACCGACCAUUCGGUGGAAAGACAGUUGUAUUAGGUGGAGAUUUCAGGCAAGUCCUCCUUGUUGUCCGUAAGGGGUCAAGGGCUUAG
rnacentral:rRNA from 1 species